rnacentral:rRNA from 1 species
AUGGCGGACGGAGGCGUGUGGGUGUUCCGGAAGGACGGGGUGAUGGAGCUGGAGAGCGCGGCCGGGUCGACGUCGAGCCGGAGCGGGCCGGGGAACAAGGCGCUGGUGUACGUGCCGGCGAACGAGACGAUGCGGUCGCUGCAGGCGCUGGAGCAGCGCCUCGGCGCGCACGGCUGGGAGCGCUACUACGAGAACCGCGAAGACGGCAGCCUCGACCUCAUCUCGCUCCCGCGGAACUUUGCGCAGCUCCGCUCCACCCACAUGUACGACGUCGUCGUCAAGAACCGAGGCCACUUCAAGGUCGUCGACCUCUAA